GAUAAAGAACGCAGCGAAAUGCGAUACGUAAUGUGAAUUGCAGAAUUCAGUGAAUCAUCGAGUCUUUGAACGCACAUUGCGCCCCCUGGUAUUCCGGGGGGCAUGCCUGUCCGAGCGUCAUUGCUGCCCUCAAGCACGGCUUGUGUGUUGGGCCUCCGUCCUCCUCCCGGGGGACGGGCCCGAAAGGCAGCGGCGGCACCGCGUCCGGUCCUCGAGCGUAUGGGGCUUCGUCACCCGCUCUUGUAGGCCCGGCCGGCGCUUGCCGACACAUCAAUCUUUUUUCCAGGUUGACCUCGGAUCAGGUAGGGAUACCCGCUGAACUUAAGCAUAUCAAUAAGCGGAGGA
rnacentral:misc_RNA from 1 species